GGAGGUGAGGGCAAACUGGCUGUGACACCUGUAACCCCACUGGUCACCAGGGUUGAGCUGCCUCAUCUGUCUGGUUAGAAGGGUUUCCUCCCUGCUCACUGCUCCACGUGGGUGCCUCCCAUGGCUGUACACAAAGCUGGAUGACGUUCUAAGGUUAGAUAUGGGCAGGUCUUUGGUGGAGGGUAUGUGCCCCCUGCUAGAACCUCCAAACUCUUAAGAAAAGGGGGUGGGGAGAAAAGACCACUACUAAGUAGUAGACAGAAUAAUGAAAACACAGUAGGUAAGUAAAUUCUAU
ensembl:misc_RNA 7SK 7SK RNA